GGACGACAAACACAUUCAACAGGUGGAAUGACGAUUACAAUUCUCCUUCAUCAGAGGUCGAGACAGCCGCUACAUUUUGCAGUAGUGAAAUCAGCGCCGCGAUCAUAAGACACUACCCCGGAAGUAUGAAUUAUUGGAGCAUUGUAAAGUCCACAGCGUUCAUAUUUGGCUCUGAGCACUUCAUGUACUUUAAUAAAAGAGAUCGCCAAGCAAUCAACAACACUUUCUCG
rnacentral:lncRNA from 1 species